AAUUAUUUUGUUGGACAAGUUCUAACUUUUAAUAUGUUUCAAGGAAAUAUCCUCCAAGUAUAGGAAACUGUUGCGUCAAAAAAAAAAAGUAUAGGAAAUUGUCAAAAGUUACAAUAUCUAAAUCUUUAUCAUAAUAAGCUUGGAGGAACUAUACCUUCAGAGCUUUUUAACCAUUUUGCUCAUCCAAUAAGUGAAAGUAUGAGAAGACUAAUAUAGUUAUUAUGUGUAUACUAUAUUUUUGUUUUGAAAACUCUGUAUCCGGCUCAAGGGCCGACUAAUAUAGUUGUUAUGUGUAUACUAUAUUUGUGCGAGCAAAAAUAGAGUGAAGCGUGUGCACCAAUUACUCGAUCUUAGCUUUUUGUUGUAGAUGAUAGCUCAAACUUUUGUUCCUAUAGCAUGAGAUAUUUAUAUAUGUUCUUAGUUCUUUGGUUUAACUGAAUAAGCAUCUAAAUUUCCAUUUCAGAAGAACCAAAAAUCGAAAGCGCAGCUAGGACUGGUCAAGAUGAAGAUGAAUUGGGACGUUAAGUUGACGACAUUCUAUCCUAAUAACUAUAUGAUUGAUGUGUUAAUUUUUCUCAGAAGAUUAUUUUUCUCCAAUUUAGUGAGUGAAACCAAUUUAUGGAUGGUGAACUUUAUUCAGCUUCUGAGUUAUUGUGAAUUUAGAGUUGCAUCAUAUUAUUUGAAUCAUGUGCUUCAUUUGUAUGCUAUUGUUGUGGUAUUUGUUUCUGUAACAAUAUCACCAUGGUCCAUUGGUUUGUAAUACAUGAAUUUGGUCAAUUUGUGCCAGUGAAAACUUCUUGGUUUGCACCUAUUUGCUAUGUUAUUGGGUGAAUGAAUUAAGACUAUAUGGUCUAUUGAUUUUGAGAUGGAUUCCAAGUGUGUUGUUGAUCAUUUCAACAAGUAUCAACACGACGAUACGAAGCUCAAAGACACUCUUAUAAAAUGUAGACGCGUUUUUUUAUUCUUUAUAUAGAAUAUCUCAUGUUAAGUUUGAACUAGGACAAACGAAUGAGGUAGGUCAUGCUUCCGCUAAAACAGCUACAUUCUUAACUACUAUUUGUUGAUUGAUAUUCAUGCAUGUAUU
rnacentral:lncRNA from 1 species